rnacentral:rRNA from 1 species
UACGUAGGCAGCAAGCGUUGUUCGGAGUUACUGGGCGUAAAGAGUGCGUAGGCGGUUUUCUAAGUCUGGUGUGAAAUCUCCCGGCUCAACUGGGAGGGUGCGCCGAAAACUGGAAGGCUUGAGUAUGGGAGAGGUAAGCGGAAUUCCUGGUGUAGCGGUGAAAUGCGUAGAUAUCAGGAGGAACACCUGUGGUGUGAGACACUUACUGGACCAUCACUGACGCUGAGGUACGAAAGCGUGGGUAGCAAACAGG